AGUCCGCCUUGAAGAUCGGAGUGCUUGCACUCUGUGAAACAAGAUACAGGCUAGCGGCGGACGGGUGAGUAACACGUGGGUAACCUGCCCAAGAGAUCGGGAUAACACCUGGAAACAGAUGCUAAUACCGGAUAACAACAGAUGAUGCCUAUCAACUGUUUAAAAGAUGGUUCUGCUAUCACUCUUGGAUGGACCUGCGGUGCAUUAGCUAGUUGGUAGGGUAACGGCCUACCAAGGCGAUGAUGCAUAGCCGAGUUGAGAGACUGAUCGGCCACAUUGGGACUGAGACACGGCCCAAACUCCUACGGGAGGCAGCAGUAGGGAAUCUUCCACAAUGGACGCGAGUCUGAUGGAGCAACGCCGCGUGAGUGAAGAAGGGCUUCGGCUCGUAAAGCUCUGUUGUUGGUGAAGAAGGACAGGGGUAGUAACUGACCUUUGUUUGACGGUAAUCAAUUAGAAAGUCACGGCUGACUACGUGCCAGCAGCCGCGGUAAUACGUAGGUGGCAAGCGUUGUCCGGAUUUAUUGGGCGUAAAGCGAGUGCAGGCGGCUCGAUAAGUCUGAUGUGAAAGCCUUCGGCUCAACCGGAGAAUUGCAUCAGAAACUGUCGAGCUUGAGUACAGAAGAGGAGAGUGGAACUCCAUGUGUAGCGGUGAAAUGCGUAGAUAUAUGGAAGAACACCGGUGGCGAAGGCGGCUCUCUGGUCUGUUACUGACGCUGAGGCUCGAAAGCAUGGGUAGCGAACAGGAUUAGAUACCCUGGUAGUCCAUGCCGUAAACGAUGAGUGCUAAGUGUUGGGAGGUUUCCGCCUC
rnacentral:rRNA from 1 species